GACGAACGCUGGCGGCGUGCUUAACACAUGCAAGUCGAACGGAAAGGCCCUGCUUUUGUGGGGUGCUCGAGUGGCGAACGGGUGAGUAACACGGGAGUAACCUGCCCUUUACUUUGGGAUAACUUCAGGAAACUGGGGCUAAUACCGGAUAGGAGCUCCUGCUGCAUGGUGGGGGUUGGAAAGUUUCGGCGGUUGGGGAUGGACUCGGGGCUUAUCAGCUUGUUGGUUGGGUAGUGGCUUACCAAGGCUUUGACGGGUAGCCGGCCUGGGAGGGUGACCGGCGACAAUGGGACUGAGAGACGGAGCAGACGCCUACGGGAGGCAGCAGUGGGGAAUAUUGCACAAUGGGCGGAAGCCUGAUGCAGAAACGCCGCGUGCGGGAUGACGGCCUUCGGGUUGUAAACCGCUUUCGCCUGUGACGAAGCGUGAGUGACGGUAAUGGGUAAAGAAGCACCGGCUAACUACGUG
rnacentral:rRNA from 1 species